rnacentral:rRNA from 1 species
UACGAAGGGUGCAAACGUUGCUCGGAAUUACUGGGCGUAAAGCGUGCGUAGACGGUUAUGUAAGUUAGGUGUGAAAGCCCCGGGCUCAACCUGGGAAUUGCAUUUAAGACUGCAUAGCUAGGGUGCGGAAGAGGGAAGCGGAAUUUCCGGUGUAGCGGUGAAAUGCGUAGAUAUCGGAAGGAACAUCAGUGGCGAAAGCGGCUUCCUGGUCCAGCACCGACGUUCAGGCACGAAAGCGUGGGGAGCAAACAGG